UGGGGAAUAUUGGACAAUGGGGGAAACCCUGAUCCAGCGACGCCGCGUGUGUGAAGAAGGCCUGCGGGUUGUAAAGCACUUUUAGUGGGGACAAAAAGCUACGGGAUAACACCUCGUGGUCUUGAUUUAACCCAAAGAAAAAGCACCGGCUAACUCUGUGCCAGCAGCCGCGGUAAUACAGAGGGUGCGAGCGUUAAUCGGAAUUACUGGGCGUAAAGCGCGCGUAGACGGUUUUGUAAGUCAGAUGUGAAAUCCCUGGGCUCAACCUGGGAACUGCAUUUGAGACUGCAUGGCUAGAGUAUGGAAGAGGGAAGUGGAAUUUCCGGUGUAGCGGUGAAAUGCGUAGAUAUCAGGAGGAACACCUGCGGUGUAGACGGCUUUCUGGACCAUAGCUGACGCUGAGACACGAAAGCGUGGGUAGCAAACAG
rnacentral:rRNA from 1 species